GAUGAAUGAGUUUCAAGGUUCGGAUGCUGGAUCGUCGGAUGUAAAUGGUGGAAAAGAUGGAACUUCAAAUCGUCAUGGCAAGUCGAAGCAAUCCAAGAAACAAGCUUCUAACAAGAGCACGAAUAGUGACAUUGAAACAAGCCGAGGUAGGCGGGCCAAAACCUCAACCGCGGGCUCAGAGUCGCCUUCACAAGAAGCAGGAGCGAAAAAGAACCGAAGGAAAAAGAGAUCAAACAAAGAUCCGUCCGCCUCAAACGAUGAUUAAGGUCAAUGAGUUUUGUGAAUAUUACCAUCCCUAAAACUUACCAUGCUUUUUUAACAUAUUUACAUGAUAUUUAACAAUUUUAUAUCGUAUAGGACCGAAAACUGUUUUAUGUAUAAAUCAUUAGUUGAUGUUCGAUUCGUCACUCUUUGUAUUAUUUUUGCACAUAUGCAACAAUGAGAAUUGUAGCAUUUCGGUUCA